rnacentral:lncRNA from 1 species
GCCAUUCUGUCUUACCGUCGCGCUCGCUUUCAGAAAUUUUUCUUUAGUGUAGAGCAUGGAUAGCCAGGCUAGCGGAAUAAAAGGGCGUGGUGUGUUAUGGUGCCAUGAAGAGAUCCUGGAUCUCUUGGACAUAUGGGGAGAGAAGAAGGUCCAGGAGCAGCUUCGGAAAAGUCAUCGAAAUAUUGACCUUUUCGGUGUAGUGGCGGCCGAUCUGAAGGUCAGAGGACACAACAGGUCCGCUGAGGAAUGUCGGCGUAAAACCAAGAAUAUGCGGCAGGAAUACCGGAAGGUCAUUAAUCAUAAUGCUCGGUCCGGUAAUAACCGUGUCCGGUGCCCCUAUUAUGACGAGCUACAUGCCAUUCUUCCUGGGGAUGCCUCAGUAGCACCGAAAAGACUGGUAUCCAGUUUGUCCGUCGUACGGGAGGUUCCACGUACCAACGCUACUGUCGCUUCCUACUCGGCGUCUCCUUCCAGCCCCGAACUUUUCAAUAGCUCAUUCGCAACCAUAGAUCUGGAUACCUACCUGACCGAAGACUCUGGUGCUGUGGCUACUGAAGCAGGGCUUUCACGUGUACACGAGGACGAGGAUACUUGUGUGGCGGAACUCCAGGGAAUCCUUGGUGCGUUCAAGACGUUCUGUACGGUUCCCCGUAAAAAUCAUUAUUAUGUUAAACCUUCCGUAUACAGAGCCUAUUGUUUCCCAUUGUAGAUGAAGACGAUACCGCCAGCGGCCAGUCAGAGAGCAGACGAGAACACAUUCCCCGGACCUCAUCCUCCAUUCCGGAAGCCAGGGAGGACAAUUUAUCGGUGUCAUCCAUGACAUCAACAGGCAGCUCAGGUAACGAAGCCAGCAGUAACAGCAUUGUGGGCAGACUCCUGCUCCCGGUCUACCGUUGACAGCAGCAAGCGCCCCACC